ACAACUAUUUCACAUACAAUGUGGUAUUGGCUUAUGUGUUGUAGCACUUGGCUGUGCUGAUCUCACUCAGCUGAAAUGGAUAGGCCAGAUGAAGUAUACCAUUAGCACAGACUCUUAGAGUAUUCCGUGAUACUAAUCUAGUCUGUAGUGGGUUGAAAUCUGUGUCAAAUGACCCCCCGUCAGAUCAAAACUGAAGA
rnacentral:misc_RNA from 1 species